rnacentral:misc_RNA from 1 species
GAUGAAGAACGUAGCGAAAUGCGAUAAGUAAUGUGAAUUGCAGAAUUCAGUGAAUCAUCGAAUCUUUGAACGCACAUUGCGCCCGCCAGUAUUCUGGCGGGCAUGCCUGUCCGAGCGUCAUUUCAACCCUCGAACCCCUCCGGGGGGUCGGCGUUGGGGAUCGGCCCUGCCUCUUGGCGGUGGCCGUCUCCGAAAUACAGUGGCGGUCUCGCCGCAGCCUCUCCUGCGCAGUAGUUUGCACAAUCGCAUCGGGAGCGCGGCGCGUCCACAGCCGUUAAACACCCAACUUCUGAAAUGUUGACCUCGGAUCAGGUAGGAAUACCCGCUGAACUUAAGCAUAUCAAUAAGCGGAGGA